GGGGGGGGGGGGGGGGGGGGCGAGUGCGUGCAAGUCGAAGGAGAGCGGCCGGUGCUUGGACUGGGCAAUCUGGUGGCGAGCGGGUGAGUAACGCGUGGGUACCCUGCCCAUCAGAGGGGGAUAACAGCCGGCAACGGCUGCUAACACCGCAUAGGUCUUCGAGGCGCCUUGCUUGAGGGGGAAACGCGGGGCGAGCUUCUGCUGAUGACUGGACCCGCGGUGCAUUAGCUAGUUGGUGAGGUAACGGCUCACCAAGGCCGUGAUGCAUAGCCGACCUGAGAGGGUGAUCGGCCACAUUGGGACUCAGACACGGCCCAAACUCCUACGGGAGGCAGCAGUAGGGAAUCUUCCGCAAUGGACGCAAGUCUGACGGAGCAACGCCGCGUGAGUGAAGAAGGUUUUCGGAUCGUAAAACUCUGUUGUUAGAGAAGAACAAGUGCUAGAGUAACUGUUAGCGCCUUGACGGUAUCUAACCAGAAAGCCACGGCUAACUACGUG
rnacentral:rRNA from 1 species